rnacentral:rRNA from 1 species
GACGAACGCUGGCGGCGUGCCUAAUACAUGCAAGUCGAGCGAGCGGCGGACGGGUGAGUAAUGUCUGGGAAAAUGCCUGAUGGAGGGGGAUAACUACUGGAAACGGUAGCUAAUACCGCAUACCAUCAGAUGUGCCCAGAUGGGAUUAGCUAGUAGGUGGGGUAAUGGCUCACCUAGGCGACGAUCCCUAGCUGGUCUGAGAGGAUGACCAGCCACACUGGAACGGCGACACGGUCCAGACUCCUACGUGAGGCAGCGGUGGGGAAUAUUGCACAAUGGGCGCAAGCCUGAGGCAGCAAUGCCGCGUGUGUGAAGAAGGCCUUCGGGUUGUAAAGCACUGUCAGCGAGGAGGCGUUACUCGCAGAAGAAGCACCGGCUAACUCCGUGCCAGCAGCCGCGGUAAUUC